UACGGAGGGGGGCUAGCGUUGUUCGGAAUUACUGGGCGUAAAGCGCACGUAGGCGGCUUUUGUAAGUUAGAGGUGAAAGCCCGGGGCUCAACUCCGGAAUUGCCUUUAAGACUGCAUCGCUAGAAUUGUGGAGAGGUAAGUGGAAUUCCGAGUGUAGAGGUGAAAUUCGUAGAUAUUCGGAAGAACACCAGUGGCGAAGGCGACUUACUGGACACAUAUUGACGCUGAGGUGCGAAAGCGUGGGGAGCAAACAGG
rnacentral:rRNA from 1 species